rnacentral:rRNA from 1 species
UACGUAGGGGCCUAGCGUUGUCCGGAAUUAUUGGGCGUAAAGAGCUCGUAGGCGGUUCGGCAAGUCGGAUGUGAAAUCUCCACGCUUAACGUGGAGGGGCCAUUCGAAACUGCUGUGACUCGAGUCCGGUAGGGGAGUGUGGAAUUCCCGGUGUAGCGGUGAAAUGCGCAGAUAUCGGGAGGAACACCAAGAGCGAAGGCGGCACUCUGGGCCGGAACUGACGCUGAGGAGCGAAAGCGAUGGGGAGCAAACAGGGGAUUAAGAU